UACGUAGGUGGCAAGCGUUGUCCGGAUUUACUGGGUGUAAAGGGCGUGUAGGCGGGACGGUAGGUCAGAUGUGAAAUACCCGGGCUUAACUCGGGGGCUGCAUUUGAAACCAUCGUUCUUGAGUGCUGGAGAGGGAAGCGGAAUUCCUAGUGUAGCGGUGAAAUGCGUAGAUAUUAGGAGGAACACCAGUGGCGAAGGCGGCUUUCUGGACAGUAACUGACGCUGAGGCGCGAAAGCGUGGGGAGCAAAC
rnacentral:rRNA from 1 species